rnacentral:rRNA from 1 species
AACGAACGCUGGCGGCAUGCCUAACACAUGCAAGUCGAACGAGACCUUCGGGUCUAGUGGCGCACGGGUUCGUAACGCGUGGGAACCUGCCCUUAGGUUCGGAAUAACUCCCCGAAAGGGGUGCUAAUACCGGAUAAUGUCUUCGGACCAAAGAUUUAUCGCCUUUGGAUGGGCCCGCGUUGGAUUAGCUAGUUGGUAGGGUAAAAGCCUACCAAGGCGAGGAUCCAUAGCUGGUCUGAGAGGAUGACCAGCCACACUGGGACUGAGACACGGCCCAGACUCCUACGCGAGGCAGCAGUGGGGAAUAUUGGACAAUGGGCGAAAGCCUGAUCCAGCAAUGCCGCGUGAGUGAUGAAGGCCUUAGGGUUGUAAAGCUCUUUUACCCGGGAUGAUAAUGACAGUACCGGGAGAAUAAGCUCCGGCUAACUCCGUG